rnacentral:rRNA from 1 species
UACGAAGGGGACUAGCGUUGUUCGGAAUCACUGGGCGUAAAGCGCACGUAGGCGGACUCUUAAGUCGGUGGUGAAAUCCUGGAUCUCAACUCCAGAACUGCCUUCGAUACUGAGAGUCUCGAGUCCGAGAGAGGUGAGUGGAACUGCGAGUGUAGAGGUGAAAUUCGUAGAUAUUCGCAAGAACACCAGUGGCGAAGGCGGCUCACUGGCUCGGUACUGACGCUGAGGUGCGAAAGCGUGGGGAGCAAACAGG